rnacentral:rRNA from 1 species
AUUGAACGCUGGCGGCAUGCCUUACACAUGCAAGUCGAACGGUAACAGGUCUUCGGAUGCUGACGAGUGGCGAACGGGUGAGUAAUACAUCGGAACGUGCCCGAUCGUGGGGGAUAACGAAGCGAAAGCUUUGCUAAUACCGCAUAAGAUCUACGGAUGAAAGCAGGGGACCGCAAGGCCUUGCGCGAACGGAGCGGCCGAUGGCAGAUUAGGUAGUUGGUGGGAUAAAAGCUUACCAAGCCGACGAUCUGUAGCUGGUCUGAGAGGACGACCAGCCACACUGGGACUGAGACACGGCCCAGACUCCUACGGGAGGCAGCAGUGGGGAAUUUUGGACAAUGGGCGAAAGCCUGAUCCAGCCAUGCCGCGUGCAGGAUGAAGGCCUUCGGGUUGUAAACUGCUUUUGUACGGAACGAAAAGACUCUGGUUAAUACCUGGGGUCCAUGACGGUAC